rnacentral:lncRNA from 1 species
CUCGAACCAAACUUUAUAAGGAAAUAAGCCAAUGAAAUUAUCCUAUGACUAACCCCUAAAUCUGAAAAUUUCACACUGACUUUGACAGGCCUAAACAAAACCAAAAGAAAAGUGUUCAAUCUAUCUUAGACCCAUGCUGCAGGAAGUUCAAAUACUUUACGUAUCCAACAAACAGAACUUUAACUAAUUCAAAAACCAACAUGCUGAGUUAGGAUGCUAAUCCAACCUUACAAAUGAGAUUCAAGUCAUGUAACAUGAAUAAGCAAAUAAACAUAUAAAAGAAAACUAAGUUAUUACAGAAAACUGAAUGAUCUAAAAAAAUAUAGGAAUAAAAUUCAACAAGCAACAUCAGCUGUGAGAUUUCCAGCAUUGGGUUAUAUAUUUGCAUUUCAACAUGUCAUUUAGGUCCCAAGAAAUACCUGGAAGUAAAAUAAAUCAAAGAAAGUGAGCAUUUCAGCAGUAACAGUAGCUCAGCAAAUCAACACGGCAGUAUUCAGCUCUUCUAAACCAUUUUAAACCCAAAUGAACAAAAAUUCCUUAAAUUUUUUUAAUUCUGACUGACAAUAAAGACCAAAGAGCAAAAUCAAAAGAAAUUUCAACCAAAAGAUGCAGAAACUUUUUUAGUAUUUUUCCAGAGUAUCUAUGGCUGCUUAAAAUGAAAGAAAAAGGUCUUUAUAUAGGCACUUCUCAAACAGCCCUAACCUGGUUAGCCAAUUCUCCUUUUACCCCUUCAAUUCUUAGUCAUUUUACCCUUCUUACCCCUUCAAAAUAUCUGACCUUCCCUUAUCUCUUAACAAACAAUCACCAACCUUAUCCUUUAGAAGCUUCCCCAUAACAGAAAUUAUUCCCUACUCUCAAAUACCCAAAACACCUUUGACACCUUUGUAAUUGACAUUCAGAAAAUCACUCCUGGGUCAAAUUAACCAAAGACCCCAAACCAAAAUGAACGGGAUUCUUUGAACCGGGUCAGAGACGACCAAAAAGCCUAAGGCUGAAACCCAAACCACCCAAAAUGAGCAUUGAAACUCAAGUUCUGACCCAGGACAAACCAAAAUCUAAUCGACGGAAUAGAAAGUAAGCAAUUUGAUCCAUGAAUACUUAACCAAGAUUGAAUAAUAACUCGAAAUCUAGGGACUAAACUGGGUAAAGAAUAAAUACAAGACAAACAGACAAACAAAGAAUAAGAGGACAAAAUUAACUCUAAUCCGGUUAACAAAAUUAUCCAAAACAAACCACAGAUUAUUGCUACCUGAAUUUCUUUAACCGGUUAAAGAGAAAAAGAAACAAAAAAAUAGAAAGAACAGGAAAGGAAAAUAAAGGAGAAGAAGAAGAAAAGAAAACAAAGAAAGAAGAAGAAGAGAAGAGAAACAAAAAUACCUAAAAUAAGUAAACGAAUGGUUGGACGGACCACCGGCAUUCUCCAAUUUAAACCAAAAUUAGCAUUAAUCGAAUGUUCUUGUUGAGAACAAACGAUCAAUACAAGUUUCAGGUCAAAUCGUUGUUGGAAACUUGAAGAUCUUUCUCUUUUUUUUAUAUCUAAAACUGGCCGGAUUUGGUGGGGGGUUUUGGGAAAUAUGGCGGUGUAUUAGGAAUCAGGGGUGGGUGGUGAUUGUGGAGUAGGAAUUUGGAAGUGAUUGGGUGGUCCUCCGCCGGUGAAGACGGUGGAGGAAUUUAUGGCGGCAAAUUCUAGGGUUCUAAGGUUAGAGAUAAGGAAUGGACUGAGUGAGGUUUGGAC